GCGUUAUUGGAGCGGCCGAUAUCAGAUUAGCUUGUUGGUGGGGUAAAAGCCUACCAAGGCGACGAUCUGUAGCUGGUCUGAGAGGACGACCAGCCACACUGGGACUGAGACACGGCCCAG
rnacentral:rRNA from 1 species